UUGUUUUAUUUUGUGCCAUUUGUCUUUGGUAAAUAACAUACAGUUCCAUUCUAAAUAUUUCGCAUCAGAAAGUCUGUCUUUUAGUAGAAAAAUUACACUCUAUUUAUUGUGAAUAUUGAUAUGUUUGGACUUAUUCUUGUCAUUUAUUUCAUUUUCUACUUGACAUGCCUCCCUUUUCUUUAUUGCUGUACUCCUAGGGUUUUCUUUUUCUUCAUUUUUCCUUUGGUACUUUAAUGUCUACAUUCUAUUCUUCUUUAGUUGUUUAAAACAGAGCACCUAAUUCUCACCACUAAUUGGAAAAUGUAAUUUUAAUCAGACAUUGUAGCUUACUCUUCCCACAAGACAAAAUAUUACCAAAUUUUUACAUAUUUUUAACUUCCAAGGACUCUUUCUUGCUCUUUGAUGGCUCUGUUUUUAUAGCAUCCUAUUCUGGUUUUCACAAUGCAGUAUUCCUCUGAAGAUAGCAGUAGUGUGUGUGUGUGUGUGUGUGUGUGUGUGUUUCAUUGGAGCCCAGUUCAGAUUGUUUACAUCUUUCUCUAUUAUGAAAAGUAUUUCCUCCAGUGUCUCCUAAUUCCUGCUUGUCCAUUCACGUAUUAAAAUACAGAAAGGUGUGGAUAAGUGUUGGUCACUGUCACGUGUUUCCUCAGCAAUUUCAUGCUUCGUUUUCCCUGCAGAUCCUCCUCCCAAAUGGGCAGGACGGCUAAGAACCACAUGUCACUUUGUGGGGGGCAGGACAGCAGGUUUCCCUGCAGGACACCUGGGAGGAGAGCCAGGCCAGCCGGGACCCUCAUGGGGCCCCACAGGGAAGCUCUGCCCUGAGGUGAGGCCGUUUCCCAGAGCUGACUCAUGUGCAGUGUUUUGUUUUCUUUCCUCCCUUACCCUCAGCUCUGCUGAGGGAACCGUGUCCUCUCACCUGAUGUUCUAGACUCCGCUUCCAAGUGGACACCACCUAUCCUGUCCAAUUCCCAGCUUUCUUCCUCCCUUCCCCUCCCCUCCCUUCCAUUUUUGUAUUUUAGGGCCGCACUCACAGCAUAUAGAAGUUCUCAGGCUAGAGGUCAAAUCGGAGCUACGCCACAGCAGCACAGAAUCCAAGCCACAUCUGUAACCUACACCACAGCUCACAGCAAUUGCCAGAUCUCCAACCCACUGAGCGAGGCCAGGGAUCAAACCUGGAUGCUCAAUGAUACUAGUUGGAUUCAUUUUCGCUUCACCACAACAGGAACUACCCCCAGCCUUCUUUAACACCCCUACACACUGCAUCCAGCCUUCUUACAUGCUGGCGGAAGGAGCAGGAGAGGUUGGUCCACUUAUCUUGUGACUCAUUUCCCUCGUAGGUGCCCCCGUCGUAUGCCCUUUCUCCAAAUGUGGGGGUGUUCAGCACACCAUUAAGAAGACUGCUGAGCCUACUGCUAUGCUGGGCUUGUUGGGAGUUAGCAGUUUUCACCAUUCUAUUUUUCCUUCAACCUUCAGCCACCUAUCAACAUUUCUGGAGCACUGAUGGUGUCCUUUCCAUGCUCCUGAGGAUUUAUUUUUCUCCUUGGUGAGGGGAAGAACGCAUAUAUGCUUGGUCUGCCAUCUUGAUCCAGAAAUCCACAGGUGGGCUUAGGAUGCCACAACCAGGUAGCUUUUUGAAUGAGGCAAAUAAAUUACUUAAAAUAUUAUUUUCUAUAGUUUCAAAGAUUUGGAGUUCCUGUUGUAGCGCAGCAGAAACGAAUCCCACUAGUAACCAUGAGGUUGCAGGUUCGAUCCCUGGCCUCGCUCAGUGGGUUAAGGAUCUGGUGUUGCAGUGAGCUAUGGUUUAGGUCCCAGAUGCAGCUCAGAUCCCGCAUUGCUUUGGCUGUGGUGUAGGCCAGCGACUGUAGCUCCAAUUUGACCCCUAGCCUGGGGACCUCCAGAUGCCAUGGGUGUGGCCCUAAAAAGCAAAAUAUAUGUAUAUGAGUAGUUUGUCUGCCAUCAGAAUGGAAGGGUGUGCACUGCCGGAGGUGCACAGAAUGGAGACUGGAGUCGGGCUGUGUUUGUACUGGCAGCAUCUUCAUGUACACUAGCUGCCUCGAUUAAAAUGUAACUAUUAGCAAAUGAAAUUAAAUACUUCAGUUGCCUAGUAACUAAUCCAAUCUGAGAAAGAAGCAAAAAAUAGAGUACAUAAAUUUAGAACUUUUAGGCCACGUGCCAAGCAAAAUAGUCUUGCUUGGAUCCUUUUGAUCAUCUGCCAUUUGAAUGGAAGAAAGGAUGUUUUAGUGUCAGAGAGGCAGCAUUUGUGUUGACCUUGCCUGCAAAGAGUGAAUACCUCUUAAUAACUGGACAGACAUGAGAAGUAGGCAGGCUUCCCAACGACCUCCAGCCGCACUCACCCCCAGAGAUGCCAAGUAGGAGCAGGAGCAGGAAGAAGCUUUGAGUGAACACUAGGAAUUUAUUUUUCUGCUUUAGUUAAAAAGCCAAAGGGCAUUGCGUGAUUUAAGCCACAUGAUGCUAGUGGAAGAAAAGUGUAAACUAUCUGUUUUAUCUACUUCCAUGUAAAAGUAAAGUAGCAUAUUUCCUCCCAAAGCAGCUUUUCAGUGAGACAGAAAAUUAAGAAGUAGUUUAAGAUUGUGUAGUGCAUGAAUUAGUAAUUACUGCGAUCAUGUAAUGUUGGAGUUUAAAGAAAUACUGCAAUAAAUUGAUAUUCAGUGUGGUGUCAGUUACUUAAGUAUUACUUUUUUCUGCUUCCUUAAAAAAAUGAAGAAAAAAAAAUGCCCCACAGUUGCCUGUAUUUACUGAUAACGUAUUU
rnacentral:lncRNA from 1 species